GAUUGUCGGAUAAUAAAUUGAGAGAAUGAUUGGAGAGUCAGAGAGAUUAAGAGGGAGAGAUGCCGAGAGAGAGAAAGAACCUGAAACCCACCAAGUCCGAUCAGAAGACCGUGACCCACACGAUUUCCUCGCAGACCCGUGUGUACAGCCCGUGGCUGGAACCCCGUGAGCCCAACCCAAUCGGCCCAUCGAACCCGUGGCAGAUCCAGACCCAUCGAACCCACAGCCCGUUAGCCCAGAACCGCCCGUGACCAUGAGCCGUGAAGCCCGUAGCUCACGACGCCUCGGCCCAGCAGCGAUCCCGGCCCAACCCAGUGGACCCGUGAGCCCAACCCAGCAGCGAUCCAGCCCAUACUCGCGAAUCACCCAGGCCCGGUCCACGAACCAAUCUUCAGCCCAAAUCCAACGGGCCCAGCAGCAACCCGGAACCCGACCCAUCUCAGACCCAAAGCCCGACCCGGCAGUAGUCCCAACCCGUGACCCGAACCCGAAAACCCGACCCGUCGGCGACCCGUCUACGGCAGAAUUUCCGGUGACUUUUCCGGCGACUUUCCGGUGACUUUUCCGGUGACUUUCCGGCUAUUUUUCCGGCGAAUUUCCUGUGAUCGAACUCAUCGUUUUCACUGGAUUUUCUAGUGAAAAUUCUUAAUAUAGUAAACUAAGAAACUAUACAAGGAGAGUUAAGCUCGAUCCCGAUGCUAAUGGAAAGUCCAAGUUAUGAACAGAGAGACGUAGGUGGCCGGGAUGGGAUCUAGGAAUGCAUUAGAACAUUUCAUUUAUGUUACCCUAAUAAGUGCACUUGCACAACAAUUUUAGUUUUCUUUAAAUUCUCAGUUAUUGUAUCUUUUAUAAUUAAAUUUUCUAAAUAACCGUUUCCGCAUUUAUUAAAAACUCUGAGUUUUAAAAUCA